ensembl:lncRNA
AUGGGCGCCACACCAACACUGCGCGCGGAGGCUCUGUGGUGUCUGAACAUUGCAGUUAAUCACCACUCAUUGAACUCCAAUGAAGGAAUUUCGGAGCUGUUUAAAGAAAUGUUUUACAUCGCGAAGUCAUUCACGUGUGGUAAAGACAAAACCGGGUACAUCAUCAGAUUUGGAUUAGCAUCGUUCUUCAAAAAACAGUUUGUGGGUGGCAUCAACAAGGCUGGGCCAUUCGUGUUGAUGUUUGAUGAGAGCCUCAAUCAGGCGUCAAAGAAAAAACAACUUGACAUCCAUGUUCGAUACUGGGAGGAUGACCGUGUCCAAUCCAGAUACUUUGGAUCUCAGUUUUUGGGACAUGGAAGGGCCGAAUAUUUGUUGCAUCACAUAAAGGAAUGUGUCACACAAUUGAAUAUGAGGCAACUGCUAUCAGUUGGAAUGGAUGGCCCCAAUGUGAAUUUCAAGUUGGUGGAUCUACUCCAGAAAGAACAUGCAGAGCUCUAUGGAGGUGCCCAGGUUGUCACUGUUGGAAGCUGUGGACUUAUAGCACAAGUGCAAACAAUAGUUCACCAGUUCAUAGAAGAUGCCAGUUUGUGAAUCCGCAACAGUUCAUAGAAGAUGCCAGUUUGUGAAUCCGCAACAGUUCAUAGAAGAUGCCCGUUUGUAAUGCAUCAACUUGCAAUGAAUGCCAGCCAGUGUGCUGGAACUAUCCAUUCUCUCCAUUGCACAUUUUAUGUAGUUUGUUUUAUUUUUAUUUACUAAGUGAAAUAAAUGUGCAAUAUGUUGUCA